GCAACGUGGCCGAGUGGUUAAGGCGAUAGACUAGGGAUCUAUUAUCCUCUGGAUGUGCAGGUUCUUGUCCUGCUGGUUUCG